GUGACCUGGUACGCCGGCGGGCGGCGCCUCGUCCGGUGGCCGGAGGCCAGGAAGGGGAUCGGCUCGGGUUGCAUUCGGUGACCUCUCGCAGCUCCCCCCAGGGAGGACGAUGAUUGAACUCUCCGUGAGCCCGUGACCCCGGCGCAGCGGCGGCGGAGAGUGCGCUGCCCGCGCCCGCGGACGGAGGCUAAGGGAAGCAGGGCCGUCGACGCGCGCUCCCAAGGAAACCAGAUGCUUAUGCUGUGCCCUGACUUGGUACAUCAUUAGUGGUCUGGUCAAGGAACAUUCUGAGGGCAAGAAUGGCCAUUUAUAGCUCAAGGAACCUGGUGCUCCAUUACAUGAUUUGAGCAGCUUGUCUGUAGGAACUGUCCUGCGAGAAAGGAAGAGGCCAAGGAGAUGAUCUGCACAAGAGCAAGGCCAAGGGAAGGUAUGUGAAGUGCAAUAUCAAAUGAAGGCCGGGUGUUAUGCCUCUUUUCGGAGAAAAAGUGAAGGUCUGUAAAAACUGGAGGGGCUGCAUAGUUUUCUUGUAAAACUAUCAUGAUGCUUAUUCUUCAGAUGGUUGCUUCUAUCAACAAGGAUGCCCUUCUGGAGUUCUUUAUCGACUACCAAGUAGUCACUUUUGCACUUAAUGGUGUGACAUGCAGCUUGCUUGUUGUGGAAAAAUAAGGGAUACCCCCUCUGAUGUGCCCUGACAGACUAUGUAAAGCGUCAAAGGUCUAGUCAAGGAAGACUUGAGAGUCUGGUAACAAAAAAAGGGGCAAGUUUGUAGCCUCAUGGAUGCAGUGACCUGGUGUUCUUUGCCUCUUUUGUCAUGCCGGCGUUGCCUGGUGCGUACGUCUGCUGUUGUUUUCCAUUCCCCCGGCUUCACUCACCGGCGCGUCAUUCCGGAACAUUGAUUGUGAACUCAAGUAGACAGGAUAGCGUGCGAGGACUUGCAAUGGAAGGAUGGUUGAUUGCAACAGGCCGGAAUUCAGGCUGGUUGCUGGUCAGUUUAGUUGAACAUAUAGUUGGUGUAAAGAGUUGUAUUUCUUUUUGGGUAUUGGUUAUUUUAGAUGAUGCUGUUUUGACGCUCUGUUCCCAGCGUAGAGUGAUGAGCAGAAGAAUCACUGUACAUGUGGAUAAUAAUAUAGUUCUGGUUGAGAGAAAUAUCAAAGUUUUUGUGAGACCAGUGAUAGAAUCCAGGUAUAAUAUAUUCUUUACUGGCCUAGUA